UACGUAGGGGGCAAGCGUUGUCCGGAUUUAUUGGGCGUAAAGAGCGUGUAGGCGGCUUUGCAAGUCCGUUGUGAAAACUCGAGGCUCAACCUCGAGACGCCGGUGGAAACUGCAAAGCUAGAGUCCGGAAGAGGAGAGUGGAAUUCCAGGUGUAGCGGUGAAAUGCGUAGAUAUCUGGAGGAAUACCGGUGGCGAAGGCGGCAUCCUGGACCGAGAUUGACGCUGAACGGCGAAAGCUAGGGGAGCAAACGGG
rnacentral:rRNA from 1 species